rnacentral:rRNA from 1 species
AUUGAACGCUGGCGGCAGGCCUAACACAUGCAAGUCGAGCGGAAACGAGUUAUCUGAACCUUCGGGGAACGAUAACGGCGUCGAGCGGCGGACGGGUGAGUAAUGCCUAGGAAAUUGCCCUGAUGUGGGGGGAUAACCAUUGGAAACGAUGGCUAAUACCGCAUAAUGCCUACGGGCCAAAGAGGGGGACCUUCGGGCCUCUCGCGUCAGGAUAUGCCUAGGUGGGAUUAGCUAGUUGGUGAGGUAAAGGCUCACCAAGGCGACGAUCCCUAGCUGGUCUGAGAGGAUGAUCAGCCACACUGGAACUGAGCACGGUCCAGCUCCUACGGGAGCAGCAGUGGAAUAGUUGCACAUGGGCGCAAGCCUGAUGCAGCCAUGCCGCGUGUAUGAA